CUCAGCUCCUUCCUCCGGGCCGGGCGUCCUGUGCUCGGGCAUCUCCGCUGACUCUGCGCAGCCUGUGCGCCCCGCGAGCCCCGGAGGUCCCUCGGGAGGACGGCGGGUCACCCCGGAGGAAGCAAGGAGCCACCUGGGCUGCGUGCACUAAGAGUGGUCCCCAGUUUGGGAGUGUGCUCCGCCACCAAGCGGGGGUUCCUGGUGAACUGCGGUGACAGGCUGCUUCUCUGAGCUGGGUCCUGUGUCCUCCAUCAGAUCUGCUGCCAUUCAGUUCCAGUUUGUCCCCAAGCACCUCAGAAUCCAUCUCCAGGACUGUGUCUCCUCUGCUGUGUGAGGCCCCCGUGGCUCUGGCUGAGACUGUCUCCCUGUGAGCUGCAGGUGCUGUGAGAUCCCCAGGAAGGAUGUCUGGACUCCCCAGAAUGCAGGAAAUGGUACUGUGACUGUGGAUUUUCAGGCAAAAGAAGGCAGCUGGUGAUCUGCUGGUGGUCUUCGGGCAGUCUGCAGUCUACUGGAAAACAAUUGGCAGGUGGACCUCAGGUGGUGAGUGAUGGGUAGGUGAAAGGCAGGUGAUGGACAGGCAAGAGGCAGGCAAACAGGCAAAUGGUGGAUGAUAGACAGCAGUCAAUGAGUCAUCUGCACUUAUAAAGUAGUCAAUAUGCUGGCAGACUGCAGGUGAUUAAGGUGGACAAAUGGGGUAAACAGCAGGGGAUCCAUGAGGAGCAAAGACUGCCUCACAGACAGAUUUUCCACUGCUUGGAACCCGAGUUACAAAGUUACAGAGUACAAGGAAUGCAGCCUCCCUCUAGUCCACCAUCUUGGAUCUCUUUCAUCUUUUUUUUAUUGGUGCUUUAUACUUUCAUAACCUCAUGGUGAAGAGAAAACCUAUGAAUGUAACCCAUGUGCUAAAGCCUUCACUAGGUUUAAUUACCUUCAAAUACAUUUUUAAAAAGCUCAUAGGAGAGAUCCUAUGAAUGUAUACAAUGUGGUAAAGCCCUCACUAGUUCUUCUUAUCUUCAUAUACAUGAUUAAAGUCAUACUAGAGUGAAGUGCUAUGAAGGUAAAUAAUGUGGGAUACCCUUCAAUUCAAAUCAUUUGACAACAUGAACAAAGUCAUACUGCUAUGAGUACUAUGAAUAUAAACAAUAUGGGAAAGGCUUUGGUGUUUUCAGUUCCACUAGAUAACAUGGGUUAACUCAUACUGGUGAGAAACCCUAUCAGGGUAAACAAUGUGGGAAAGUCUUAACUAGUUCUGGUCUCCUUCACAGACAUGAAGGAGAACAUAAUGGAGAAGAACCCUAAGGAUAUGAACAACGUGUUAAAACCUUAACUUGGUCCACUUUCUUCGGACUACAUAAAUGAACUCAAACUAGGGAGAGGACCAAUGAGUAUAAACAGCUUGGUAGUAUCCUCAUGAGGUCCUAUUAUAAGGUCACCCCCUCCCCCAGGUGCCAACAUGGCGCUGGCUGAGCUUCUCUUCCUGAUUUUACCCUCAUAACUUCUUCCCUGCAGCAAAUCAGUCCUUGCCACCUCAUCCCAGUACCUCGGAAAUAGGGCCCUGUCCAAUCAACUGCUACCCUGCCUCUCUCCCUGAACUAUUAGCUCUUCCCCAGCCCUAUAAAAGAGCAUGUAUUUUCAGAGUAAAGUGGAACU